rnacentral:rRNA from 1 species
UACGAAGGGGGCUAGCGUUGCUCGGAAUGACUGGGCGUAAAGGGCUCGUAGGCGGUCUGUCACGUCGGGAGUGAAAACUCGGGGCUUAACUCCGAGCCUGCUUCUGAUACGGGCAGACUAGAGGUAUGCAGGGGAGAAUGGAAUUCCUGGUGUAGCGGUGAAAUGCGCAGAUAUCAGGAGGAACACCGGUGGCGAAGGCGGUUCUCUGGGCAUGACCUGACGCUGAGGAGCGAAAGUGUGGGGAGCGAACAGG